UACGGAGGGUGCAAGCGUUAUCCGGAUUCACUGGGUUUAAAGGGUGCGUAGGUGGGUUUGUAAGUCAGUGGUGAAAUCUCCGUGCUUAACAUGGAAACUGCCAUUGAUACUAUAGGUCUUGAAUUUUCUGGAGGAUAGCGGAAUAUGUCAUGUAGCGGUGAAAUGCUUAGAUAUGACAUAGAACACCAAUUGCGAAGGCAGCUAUCUACAGGGAUAUUGACACUGAGGCACGAAAGCGUGGGGAUCAAACAGG
rnacentral:rRNA from 1 species